rnacentral:sRNA from 1 species
AAAAUAAUUUUUUUUUACCACUUUUUCAGCAACUGCUUCUUCCACGUUCUUAAGAUUCUUCAGUUUCUCUCCCAUCUUUCAAAAACCCUCUGCCAGUUAAUUUACGAUCUCAAUGGCAACCGUAUAAGCCAUUCUCAGAAAGAUAAAAACAGGUUCAAAUUCUUCUUCUUCUCUCCUUUCUCAUAACCUUAAAUCCUCCAUUCUUUCAUCUAAAUACGUCUAACAGAGAAACGAAAGUAUGACGUAAAUAAUGAAAGUUGAGACUUUUGUGAUGCCUAAUGUGAUGGACGCUGUUAACUCCUCACGACACACUGAGUUUGGUCCACCUAAUCGCUGGUAUGAAU